rnacentral:rRNA from 1 species
CGCAACGAAGCCAGUUAGGGUAGAACAAGUAACUAGGGCUAAGUCGUAACAAGGUAGCCGUACCGGAAGGUGCGGCUGGAUCACCUCCUUUCUGGAGCUU